rnacentral:rRNA from 1 species
UACGGGGGGGGCAAGCGUUGUUCGGAAUUACUGGGCGUAAAGGGCUCGUAGGCGGCCAACUAAGUCGGACGUGAAAUCCCUCGGCUUAACCGGGGAACUGCGUCCGAUACUGGAUGGCUUGAGUUCGGGAGAGGGAUGCGGAAUUCCAGGUGUAGCGGUGAAAUGCGUAGAUAUCAGGAGGAACACCGGUGGCGAAGGCGGUUCUCUGGGCAUGUCCUGACGCUGAGGCGCGAAAGCUAGGGGAGCAAACAGG